GAUGAACGCUGGCGGCGUGCUUAACACAUGCAAGUCGAACGAAGCACUUCAAUCGAUUUCUUCGGAAUGAAGUUUUAGUGACUGAGUGGCGGACGGGUGAGUAACGCGUGGGUAACCUGCCUCACACAGGGGGAUAACAGUUGGAACGGCUGCUAAUACCGCAUGUGGUUAUUGGCUUUAGAAACCGGUAACUAAAGGAGCAAUCCGCUUUGGGAGGGACCUGCGUCCCAUCAGCUAGUUGGUGAGGUAAUGGCUCACCAAGGCUACGACGGGUAGGGGACCUGAGAGGGUGACCCCCCACAAUGGAACUGAAACACGGUCCAUACACCUACGGGUGGCAGCAGUAGGGAAUAUUGCUCAAUGGGCGAAAGCCUGAAGCAGCAACGCCGCGUGUGUGAUGAAGGCCUUCGGUCGUAAGCACUC
rnacentral:rRNA from 1 species